rnacentral:rRNA from 1 species
GAUGAACGCUGGCGGCGUGCCUAACACAUGCAAGUCGAGCGAGGGUUUGCUCAGUAUUGAGUAUUCUAAGUCUAGAAUGUUCAAUUCUGAGCAAAACCAAGCGGCGGACGGGUGAGUAACGCGUGGGUAACCUGCCCUAUACACAUGGAUAACAUACUGAAAGUUUACUAAUACAUGAUAAUAUAUAUUUGCGGCAUCGCAGAUAUAUCAAAGUGUUAGCGGUAUAGGAUGGACCCGCGUCUGAUUAGCUAGUUGGUGAGAUAACUGCCCACCAAGGCGACGAUCAGUAGCCGACCCGAGAGGGUGAUCGGCCACAUUGGAACUGAGACACGGUCCAAACUCCUACGGGAGGCAGCAGUGGGAAGUAAUUGCACAAAUGGGCGAAAGCCUGAUGCAGCAACGCCGCGUGAACGAUGAAGGUCUUCGGAUCGUAAAGUUCUGUUGCAAGGGGAAGAUAAUGACGGUACCCUGUGAGGAAGCCCC